rnacentral:rRNA from 1 species
GGGUUGUGAGGUUAAGCGACUAAGCGUACACGGUGGAUGCCCUGGCAGUCAGAGGCGAUGAAGGGCGUGCUAAUCUGCGAUAAGCGCCGGUAAGGUGAUAUGAACCGUUAUAACCGGCGAUACCCGAAUGGGGAAACCCAGUGUGAUUCGUCACACUAUCAUUAACUGAAUCCAUAGGUUAAUGAGGCGAACCGGGGGAACUGAAACAUCUAAGUACCCCGAGGAAAAGAAAUCAACCGAGAUUCCCCCAGUAGCGGCGAGCGAACGGGGAGGAGCCCAGAGCCUGAAUCAGCAUGUGUGUUAGUGGAAGCGUCUGGAAAGGCGCGCGAUACAGGGUGACAGCCCCGUACACAAAAGCGCAUGUGCUGUGAGCUCGAUGAGUAGGGCGGGACACGUGGUAUCCUGUCUGAAUAUGGGGGGACCAUCCUCCAAGGCUAAAUACUCCUGACUGACCGAUAGUGAACCAGUACCGUGAGGGAAAGGCGAAAAGAACCCCGGCGAGGGGAGUGAAAAAGAACCUGAAACCGUGUACGUACAAGCAGUGGGAGCNNGGCGUUAAGUUGCAGGGUAUAGACCCGAAACCCGGUGAUCUAGCCAUGGGCAGGUUGAAGGUUGGGUAACACUAACUGGAGGACCGAACCGACUAAUGUUGAAAAAUUAGCGGAUGACCUGUGGCUGGGGGUGAAAGGCCAAUCAAACCGGGAGAUAGCUGGUUCUCCCCGAAAGCUAUUUAGGUAGCGCCUCGUGAAUUCAUCUCCGGGGGUAGAGCACUGUUUCGGCUAGGGGGCCAUCCCGGCUUACCAACCCGAUGCAAACUGCGAAUACCGGAGAAUGUUAUCACGGGAGACACACGGCGGGUGCUAACGUCCGUCGUGAAGAGGGAAACAACCCAGACCGCCAGCUAAGGUCCCAAAGUCAUGGUUAAGUGGGAAACGAUGUGGGAAGGCCCAGACAGCCAGGAUGUUGGCUUAGAAGCAGCCAUCAUUUAAAGAAAGCGUAAUAGCUCACUGGUCGAGUCGGCCUGCGCGGAAGAUGUAACGGGGCUAAACCAUGCACCGAAGCUGCGGCAGCGACACUGUGUGUUGUUGGGUAGGGGAGCGUUCUGUAAGCCUGCGAAGGUGGCCUGUGAGGGUUGCUGGAGGUAUCAGAAGUGCGAAUGCUGACAUAAGUAACGAUAAAGCGGGUGAAAAGCCCGCUCGCCGGAAGACCAAGGGUUCCUGUCCAACGUUAAUCGGGGCAGGGUGAGUCGACCCCUAAGGCGAGGCCGAAAGGCGUAGUCGAUGGGAAACGGGUUAAUAUUCCCGUACUUGGUGUUACUGCGAAGGGGGGACGGAGAAGGCUAUGUUGGCCGGGCGACGGUUGUCCCGGUUUAAGCGUGUAGGUGUGUGUUCCAGGUAAAUCCGGUUCACUUUAACACUGAGGCGUGACGACGAGGCACUACGGUGCUGAAGCAACAAAUGCCCUGCUUCCAGGAAAAGCCUCUAAGCAUCAGGUAACAUCAAAUCGUACCCCAAACCGACACAGGUGGUCAGGUAGAGAAUACCAAGGCGCUUGAGAGAACUCGGGUGAAGGAACUAGGCAAAAUGGUGCCGUAACUUCGGGAGAAGGCACGCUGACACGUAGGUGAAGUGAUUUACUCAUGGAGCUGAAGUCAGUCGAAGAUACCAGCUGGCUGCAACUGUUUAUUAAAAACACAGCACUGUGCAAACACGAAAGUGGACGUAUACGGUGUGACGCCUGCCCGGUGCCGGAAGGUUAAUUGAUGGGGUCAGCGCAAGCGAAGCUCCUGAUCGAAGCCCCGGUAAACGGCGGCCGUAACUAUAACGGUCCUAAGGUAGCGAAAUUCCUUGUCGGGUAAGUUCCGACCUGCACGAAUGGCGUAAUGAUGGCCAGGCUGUCUCCACCCGAGACUCAGUGAAAUUGAACUCGCUGUGAAGAUGCAGUGUACCCGCGGCAAGACGGAAAGACCCCGUGAACCUUUACUAUAGCUUGACACUGAACAUUGAGCCUUGAUGUGUAGGAUAGGUGGGAGGCUUUGAAGUGUGGACGCCAGUCUGCAUGGAGCCGACCUUGAAAUACCACCCUUUAAUGUUUGAUGUUCUAACGUGGACCCGUUACCCGGGUUGCGGACAGUGUCUGGUGGGUAGUUUGACUGGGGCGGUCUCCUCCUAAAGAGUAACGGAGGAGCACGAAGGUUGGCUAAUCCUGGUCGGACAUCAGGAGGUUAGUGCAAUGGCAUAAGCCAGCUUGACUGCGAGCGUGACGGCGCGAGCAGGUGCGAAAGCAGGUCAUAGUGAUCCGGUGGUUCUGAAUGGAAGGGCCAUCGCUCAACGGAUAAAAGGUACUCCGGGGAUAACAGGCUGAUACCGCCCAAGAGUUCAUAUCGACGGCGGUGUUUGGCACCUCGAUGUCGGCUCAUCACAUCCUGGGGCUGAAGUAGGUCCCAAGGGUAUGGCUGUUCGCCAUUUAAAGUGGUACGCGAGCUGGGUUUAGAACGUCGUGAGACAGUUCGGUCCCUAUCUGCCGUGGGCGCUGGAGAACUGAGGGGGGCUGCUCCUAGUACGAGAGGACCGGAGUGGACGCAUCACUGGUGUUCGGGUUGUCAUGCCAAUGGCACUGCCCGGUAGCUAAAUGCGGAAGAGAUAAGUGCUGAAAGCAUCUAAGCACGAAACUUGCCCCGAGAUGAGUUCUCCCUGAGACUUAAAGUCUCCUGAAGGAACGUUGAAGACGACGACGUUGAUAGGCCGGGUGUGUAAGCGCAGCGAUGCGUUGAGCUAACCGGUACUAAUGAACCGUGAGGCUUAACCUUACAACGCCGAAG